GGCUCAGAUUGAACGCUGGCGGCGCGCCUAACACAUGCAAGUCGAACGAGAAAGUGGAGCAAUCCAUGAGUACAGUGGCGUACGGGUGAGUAACACGUGGGUAAUCUACCUCUUAGUGGGGAAUAACUUUGGGAAACCGAAGCUAAUACCGCAUAAGCUCGAGAGAGGAAAGCAGCAAUGCGCUGAGAGAGGAGCCCGCGGCCGAUUAGCUAGUUGGCAGGGUAAAAGCCUACCAAGGCAAAGAUCGGUAGCCGGCCUGAGAGGGCACACGGCCACACUGGCACUGAAACACGGGCCAGACUCCUACGGGAGGCAGCAGUGGGGAAUCUUGCACAAUGGGGGAAACCCUGAUGCAGCGACGCCGCGUGAGCGAUGAAGCCCUUCGGGGUGUAAAGCUCUUUCGGCAGGGAAGAUAGUGACGGUACCUGCAGAAGCAGCUGCGGCUAACUACGUGCCAGCAGCCGCGGUAAUACGUAGGCAGCGAGCGUUGUUCGGAGUUACUGGGCGUAAAGGGUGUGUAGGCGGUUGUUUAAGUUUGGUGUGAAAUCUCCCGGCUCAACUGGGAGGGUGCGCCGAAUACUGAGCGACUAGAGUGCGGGAGAGGAAAGUGGAAUUCCUGGUGUAGCGGUGAAAUGCGUAGAUAUCAGGAGGAACACCGGUGGUGUAGACGGCUUUCUGGACCGUAACUGACGCUGAGACACGAAAGCGUGGGUAGCAAACAGGAUUAGAUACCCUGGUAGUCCACGCCCUAAACGAUGCAUAUUUGGUGUGGGCAGUUCAUUCUGUCCGUGCCGGAGCUAACGCGUUAAAUAUGCCGCCUGGGGAGUACAGUCGCAAGGCUGAA
rnacentral:rRNA from 1 species